rnacentral:rRNA from 1 species
AGCUCCAAUAGCGUAUAUUAAAGUUGUUGCAGUUAAAAAGCUCGUAGUUGGAUUUCUGGUCGGAGCGAUCGGUCCGCCUCAUUCGGGGUGUGUACUUGUGUCGCCUCCAGCCAUCCUUGAGGAGAACUGUCCUGGCAUUGAGUUGUUGGGGCAGGGAACCUCAUCUUUUACUGUGAAAAAAUUAGAGUGUUUAAAGCAGGCUUACGCCGUUGAAUACAUUAGCAUGGAAUAAUAAGAUAGGACUUUGGCGGUCUAUUUUGUUGGUUUGCACGCCGAGGUAAUGAUUAAUAGGGAUAGUUGGGGGUAUUCGUAUUUAAUUGUCAGAGGUGAAAUUCUUGGAUUUCUGAAAGACGAACUACUGCGAAAGCAUUUACCAAGGAUGUUUUCA